ACUCCUACGGGAGGCAGCAGUGGGGAAUAUUGCACAAUGGGGGAAACCCUGAUGCAGCCAUGCCGCGUGUGUGAAGAAGGGCCUUCGGGUUGUAAAGCACUUUCAGUAGGGAGGAAGGUAGUGUAGUUAACACCUGCAUUAUUUGACGUUACCUACAGAAGAAGCACCGGCUAACUCCGUGCCAGCAGCCGCGGUAAUACGGAGGGUGCGAGCGUUAAUCGGAAUUACUGGGCGUAAAGCGCAUGCAGGUGGUUUGUUAAGUCAGAUGUGAAAGCCCGGGGCUCAACCUCGGAAUUGCAUUUGAAACUGGCAGACUAGAGUACUGUAGAGGGGGGUAGAAUUUCAGGUGUAGCGGUGAAAUGCGUAGAGAUCUGAAGGAAUACCGGUGGCGAAGGCGGCCCCCUGGACAGAUACUGACACUCAGAUGCGAAAGCGUGGGGAGCAAACAGGAUUAGAUACCCUGGUAGGAUAGCG
rnacentral:rRNA from 1 species